UACGAAGGGGGCGAGCGUUGUUCGGAUUUACUGGGCGUAAAGAGCGCGCAGGCGGCUGGUCAAGUCCGAUGUGAAAGCUCCCGGCUUAACUGGGAAAUUGCAUCGGAAACUGAUCGGCUGGAAGGUGGGAGAGGGUAGCGGAAUUCCCGGUGUAGUGGUGAAAUGCGUAGAUAUCGGGAGGAACACCAGUGGCGAAAGCGGCUACCUGGCCCAUUCUUGACGCUGAGGCGCGAAAGCUAGGGGAGCAAACGGG
rnacentral:rRNA from 1 species